ACCACAGUCGUAUGCCUCGUAUGUGGAUAACGAGGCAGGUUUAGUAUAUAUAGACCCAGAGAGUCCGAGCACACCACACAGCCUGUUCCACACAGACAAGAUAUAUUCAUAACUCAAAUCGCCUACAGAUCCCGCUGACCAUCAAGAUGCUGAGUCUGAGACUUGCAAUCCUAGUCAUCCUGGCAGUGACUAUGACAGUGACUGUGACGGGCCAGGCAAGCAGAUGCACAUUGUGUGUACGAGCUUGCACGAACCAGGAGAUGCAGUGCAGAUUCGACAAAACCAUCUGUCCAAAUGGACCCCUGACACGCAGCUGCAGAACUACAUGCGGCGCUGCAUUCGAGAACUGUCCUAGUGGAUGUGACUGCCAGUGAUGACUUGCACCAGGCUGGCUUCCACAGUGAAUGACAUGUAAACAUCAUGUAUAAUAUACUACAUGCAUCUGAAA